rnacentral:rRNA from 1 species
GACUACCGGGGUAUCUAAUCCUGUUUGCUCCCCACGCUUUCGAGCCUCAGUGUCAGUGUUAGUCCAGUAAGCCGCCUUCGCCUCUGGUGUUCUUCCUAAUAUCUACGCAUUUCACCGCUACACUAGGAAUUCCGCUUACCCCUACUAAACUCUAGUCUUUCAGUAUUGAAUGACAUUCCGGAGUUGAGCCCCGGGCUUUCACAUUCAACUUAAAAAACAACCUACGCUCUCUUUACGCCCAGUAAUUCCGGACAACGCUUGACACCUACGUAUUACCGCGGCUGCUGGCACGUAGUUAGCCGUGUCUUUCUCCUAUGGUACCAUCAUUUGUUUUUUCCCAUAGAACAGAAGUUUACAAUCCGAAAACCUUCAUCCUUCACGCGGCGUUGCUGGGUCAGGGUUUCCCCCAUUGCCCAAUAUUCCUCACUGCAGCCCCCCGUAGG